UAUGAGCGUUGCAAAAAAUUAUCCAACCCAAACCAAAAGAAAAACUCUAAUUUUUCCGUCUUUUCUCGUCUCUGCCUCUCACUCGUCUCUCAUGUGUUCCUCUCUGACUGCAAGAAAAUAGGACAAUGGAGACAAAAUUAUCCAACCCUAGUUUUCUUCUCCAUGUUCUUUCUUUCUCCGUUCUUUUUUUAUCUUCCCCUUUUACCCAAACCCUUCUUUUCCAAUAAUUACAGUCGUUCAGUCGGAUCAUCUGUUCAAUCAGCAAUCCAAGUUUCUUAAAAUUUCCCAAAUCACGAAAACCGGGGUUGGGUCAUUUAUACAUCUAAUUUAAUCGGGUUUGGGUUAGCUGUGGCCUCGAGUGCUUUCACUGGAUCCAGUUUUAUUAUUAAGAAGAAGGGUCUUCAGAGAGCCGGCGCCUCCGAUUGUCGUGCCAGUAAGUAUUAUAUUUUUGUUAAUUUUAGGGUGACACUAUUUACAUCCACAGUAAUUAUUUUUUUAAUCUUAUGUAAAUUUACCUGAAGAGACAUGUAUAAAAUUAAAUUAAAAUAUAUCAUUCUAAAUUCAUCCACUCAUAUUUAUUUUUACUAAAUUCUUUUGAACAUUUUUAUAUUUUUUCAGAAUUUGUGUUUACCUAAAAUAGUAUUUUUUUUUAAAUUUUAAUAUUUUAGUAGGGAUGAAUAUAGGGUAGGAUGAAUAUAUAAAAACCAUGGAUGUAAAUAGCCGUACCCUAAUUUUAUCUCCUUCAUUUUUGUCGCCAAUUGAAGAAAAAAUUUCUGAUUCUAUUGCAUUAUUUUGUGGAAAAAAGGUGAAUUUUGAUGUUGUACCAUUUGCUUCAUUUAUUAUUAAUUUUUUAUUUUGAUUCUGGAUAGUAAUAUUUUUUCUGCAAUUCAUAUUUUCUCCUUGUGAAUAGUAGAAACUAUUUUUCUCAUUAUAUUUAUAUAAUGAAGUUUUUUUUUUUAUGUUGUACCAUCUUCUUCAGUUUUUAUACCUGAUUCUGGAAAUUUUUAUGCAAUGAAAUAAAGAAAUUAGCAUAUGCAGUUUCACUCCCUCUUCUUCCCUGUGAAAAAAUCUCUAUGAAUUUUAAUGAUAUUAAUCCUUAAUUUGUUUUGAUUUAUUUGUGGUCAGGAUGAGAAGUGCCUAUUUAUAUCUAAUGGGUUAGUAUUUUCUCCAUUGCUAUCGAUUAGAUGGUGGUGAUUCAAUCAAUCUGUCACUUCUCUAUGAUUAUUCUUUCUUUCAAAAUACACCUACCUAGGUUCGACCUUCCAAAGUGAUGGUUAUCUAUUAAUGUUUUAAUUUUUGGGACAGUGACAAUGCCACAAAGUUUAUGUCCUUGGUUGAUCGUCACAUAACUAUCUUCUUUCCCAAAAGUUGGUAAGCGUAUUGGGGCAGGUUUAUUUAUUUCGUAAUGUUUGAUUUCAUAGUUAAUACUCUUUUAAACUGGAGAAAUGUCUGCAUUUGAUAAUGUUGUUGGUGGAAAGCUGAAACUUAAUGGGAAGGCUCUGGAUGUAAAAGCUGGUGGAGUGAAGAAAAAAAAGAAGCAAAAGAAGCACCACGAGCAAAUUUGUGGAAUGUUAAUGGGUAAGGUUGGGGCACAUUAUUUAUUUUAUUUAUCUUUGUCCUUUUAUGUUCUAAAUUUAUUUAACUACUACUCUUUGUACAAGUUGAGUAAUGGUAACUCAUGUAGACAGUGUACCCCAAUCAUUGGUUUGUCUAGUUGUGUCUGUUGAAGUUAUUGGUGUGCCUAUUUCAUGAGUUAUAACAACUAAAUUGUGAGGACAAUGUUUGGGGAAGGACAGUGGAGAAAAAAUGCUUAUUACAUGUGUAAGUUUUUAUGAAGUAGUUUCAACCUGUUAAGUGAUAGUCUGUUCCUAGAAAAUAUAUCAAUUUUUUCUCUUUGUUUUAGUUGUCAAUGUUAUUUAUGGCGUAUGAAUGAGUGUGAUGAGGGAAAAGAAUAUAUUAUUUGCAUGCAUCUUAUAUUCUAGAUUGAUUUAUAGACUUGGGAUCAUUAACAUCAGAUUUAGAACAUCUGGUUGGGCCAUUAAACUAGGUGCUGCCAAUGAACUUAUGCUAUAUACCCAAAUCUUGAAAUUCUUGGCCUAUACUUGACAUUCCUUCUACUUAUUAAGAUAAAGAUUAUGUGGGUUUGGAAUGCAUCCAGUAAUAUCUGUGCCUGCUAGAAAAAAAAAACAAUAAAUUCAGUGUCAGUCAUCUUGAAUUUAAGGUGCUGCACAUUUACUGAGAUUGCAGAUAAAUAUCUUGGUUUAGUUCUUCGUAGAAUCUGUCAAAGACACUGGAAUCGGAAUAUGCUUGGAAAAUCUCAUCCUCAAAUAAAUUUCCCUGGGGAAACUGUAUGUUCAUUUAGCUAGAGCAAGUUUGAUUUGCUGAUAGAUUCUCGGGUUGUUGAAGUUGUAGACUUUGUUGAUUAAUAUGAUCACAUACUUAGGGGCAUCAACUUCUUAUUUGUGUCUUUAAAAUAGCUUUGUCCAUUUCUGCUGAUGGUGUAUCCAAUCAUCAUUUCAAUAUGUUGGUCUCCCAAAAAUAGUGAUAAAUGGUUGCUGAUUAGUAGUCUAUAAUUCUAAUGUUAAUGCUGUAGCAUGGGAAAAUAUAUGGCUCAGAUGAUGAGAAAUGUUUGAAGUACAUUUCGCAUCUGAUUCAUUAUGCAUCAGCCCUUGAGCAUAAUAAACAUGAAUUUCCAACUUUUCCUUGUAUGUUUUAGCAUAUCGUGCAGCUGGAUGCUUUUGAACGUGGAAAACUUCAUUUCAAGACUCGAUUCUCGUCAAACAAAAAACUUGGUGAAAGUCCUAAAAAUUUAGCAUGUAAGGCGAUUUUACAUUUUCUAUGUUAAUGUCGAUGAAGUUCAAUUAUUUUCCUUAGAAAUGAUUAAAUUUGAUAUAGUUUACAGCAUCUAAUUGAAUAUAUGACGGUGUUGGUGAAUUGUUUCAAGGAUGAAAGUGGUUGGUGAAUACUAGCUCCCGAGCUUUCUUUUUUUGAAAACAUGGUGAAAGUCCUUUGUAGAGUUUCCAAGCUCGACUAAUCAAUUGUCACAUGGCUAAGCUAGAGAUUCAUGACCUUAUUUUGUAAUCAGGAUUUAAGUUUUCUACAACUCAUAUCAAAUCCAUAUAUUGUAAUUGUGAGUUGAAUUACAAUAGUUAUCUUUAUGGCAAUGAUGCGAGUUUUAUGUUUAUUUUUAUCGAGUAAUGAAAUUAUUAUCAAAUUCCAG
rnacentral:lncRNA from 1 species